GGCGUGGUGGCAGAGUGGUUAAUGCGUAUGACUCGAAAACAGGAGCGCAGGUUCGAAUCCUGCCUACGUCG